ensembl:lncRNA
UCCCAGGGUAUACCAGAACUAGCCUUUCAUCCCAGGGUAUAACAUCCCAGGGUAUACCAGAACUAGCCUUUCAUCCCAGGGUAUACCAGAACUAGCCUUUCAUCCCAGGGUAUACCAGAACUAGCCUUUCAUCCCAGGGUAUACCAGAACCAGGGUAUACCAGAACUAGCCUUUCAUCCCAGGGGUAUACCAGAACUAGCCUUUCAUCCCAGGGUAUAUCAGAACUAGCCUUUCAUCCCAGGGUAUAACAUCAAUCAACAGGUGAAUCAGAAGUUGCAGUAAAAGUGGUCAACAAGACGAUAAAGAAACCAACCAUUCAUAAAUUCACAGGAAACUAUUAAAAUAAUUAUUUACAGAAUAACCCAAUAGAGUAACAGGAAAAAAACGACUGCACCCACCAGGUACUUUUGGGAAGAAAAAUAUAACAAUAUUUAAAUUAACUUUAAAAAAAAAAAAAAAACUAUAUAAAAGCUAUGCUCAAAAGUGGCCUUUCUUUUCAUUUAAAAACAGUCCCGGGUCUUUACAGUGUCCAUGAGAGGUGCUGCUGGCAGCGCGAGAAAACAUAUUGGUCUCGUCUGUCUUCCUUGGCGUGGUAAUAGUGUCUUUCUGGAUAUCAGACCUGUAGAGAGAGACCAGAGUAGCAGACUUACUACAGAGAUACUACAAGCACCCAGACCUCCCAUCAAAACACCACAGCUAGCCUGAAAUCCAGACCUGUUUCGUGCUAACAUUCCACCUCUGGUACUCUUGUGGUCAUUUGUUUGUCACGACGAGGAGAUGAACGUUAACACAAAGAGACUGGUACCCAGGCUAUGUCACAAACAGCAGCAGCUUGGAGAAAUACAGGCGUCCAUACAGUAUAGAUUAUAGCACAGCUCUUAGCCCAGGCCCCAUAUUCACAUAUCAUCUCAGUACCAGUGCUGAUCUGGGAUCAGUUUUUCCCCUUUUUAGAUCAUAAUGAAUGAGAUUACAAGGGCUGGUGGGACCUGAUCCUAGUUCAACCACUCCUACUCUGAGAAGCUCUGUGAAUACAGGCCCUGGGCGUUGUUUAGAGAAGGAGGUUUGAGUUGAGGCGUUGCUCCACUUACUCCAAGCAGGGUCCCA